rnacentral:rRNA from 1 species
UACGAGGGGUGCAAGCGUUGCUCGGAAUUAUUGGGCGUAAAGGGUAGGUAGGUGGUCUCAUUCGUCUAGGGUGAAAGCCUUGAGCUUAACUCAAGAAGUGCCCUAGAAACGGUGAGACUGGAGUCCUGGAGAGGGUCGUGGAAUUCCCGGUGUAGCGGUGAAAUGCGUAGAGAUCGGGAGGAACACCAGAGGCGAAGGCGGCGACCUGGACAGGUACUGACACUCAACUACGAAAGCGUGGGGAGCAAACAGG